GACGAACGCUGGCGGCGUGCCUAAUACAUGCAAGUAGAACGCACAGUUUAUACCGUAGCUUGCUACACCAUAGACUGUGAGUUGCGAACGGGUGAGUAACGCGUAGGUAACCUGCCUGGUAGCGGGGGAUAACUAUUGGAAACGAUAGCUAAUACCGCAUAAUAUUCAUUAUUGCAUGAUAAUUAAUUGAAAGGUGCAAUUGCACCACUACCAGAUGGACCUGCGUUGUAUUAGCUAGUAGGUGAGGUAACGGCUCACCUAGGCGACGAUACAUAGCCGACCUGGGAGGGGGAUCGGCCAAACUGGGACUGAGAAACGGCCCAGACUCCUACGGGAGGCAGACGGAGGGAAUCUUCCGGAAUGGGAGAAAGGCUGACGGGGCAACGCCGGGGGAGUGAAGAAGGUUUUCGGAUCGUAAAACUUUGCUUUUAGGGAAGAAAGGGGGGGGAAGUGAAAAUGUACACCUUGGCGGGUUAUAUUCACAAAAAGAGGGCGAAAAACGCG
rnacentral:rRNA from 1 species